AUUGAACGCUGGCGGCAGGCCUAACACAUGCCAGUCGAGCGGAUGAAGGGAGCUUGCUCCUGGAUUCAGCGGCGGACGGGUGAGUAAUGCCUAGGAAUCUGCCUGGUAGUGGGGGAUAACGUCCGGAAACGGGCGCUAAUACCGCAUACGUCCUGAGGGAGAAAGUGUGGGAUCUUCGGACCUCACGCUAUCAGAUGAGCCUAGGUCGGAUUAGCUAGUUGGUGGGGUAAAGGCCUACCAAGGCGACGAUCCGUAACUGGUCUGAGAGGAUGAUCAGUCACACUGGAACUGAGACACGGUCCAGACUCCUACGGGAGGCAGCAGUGGGGAAUAUUGGACAAUGGGCGAAAGCCUGAUCCAGCCAUGCCGCGUGUGUGAAGAAGGUCUUCGGAUUGUAAAGCACUUUAAGUGGGGAGGAAGGGCAGUAAGUUAAUACCUUGCUGUUUUGACGUUACCAAAAGAAUAAGCACCGGCUAACUUCGUG
rnacentral:rRNA from 1 species